CCUACGGGUGGCAGCAGUGGGGAAUAUUGCACAAUGGGGGAAACCCUGAUGCAGCGACGCCGCGUGAGUGAAGAAGUAUUUCGGUAUGUAAAGCUCUAUCAGCAGGGAAGAAAAUGACGGUACCUGAUUAAGAAGCCCCGGCUAACUACGUGUCAGCAGCCGCGGUAAUACGUAGGGGGCAAGCGUUAUCCGGAUUUACUGGGUGUAAAGGGCGUGUAGGCGGGAAAGCAAGUCAGAUGUGAAAACCAUGGGCUCAACCUGUGGCCUGCAUUUGAAACUGUUUUUCUUGAGUACUGGAGAGGCAGACGGAAUUCCUCGUGUAGCGGUGAAAUGCGUAGAUAUGAGGAGGAACACCAGUGGCGAAGGCGGUCUGCUGGACAGCAACUGACGCUGAGGCGCGAAAGCGUGGGGAGCAAACAGGAUUAGAUACCCUAGUAGUC
rnacentral:rRNA from 1 species